AUCGAUGAAGAACGCAGCAAAAUGCGAUACCUGGUGUGAAUUGCAGAAUCCCGCGAACCAUCGAGUCUUUGAACGCAAGUUGCGCCCGAGGCCUUUCGGCUGAGGGCACGCCUGCCUGGGCGUCACGCAAAACACGCUU
rnacentral:rRNA from 1 species